rnacentral:rRNA from 1 species
UACGAAGGGGGCUAGCGUUGCUCGGAAUCACUGGGCGUAAAGCGCACGUAGGCGGAUUGCUAAGUCAGGGGUGAAAUCCUGGAGCUCAACUCCAGAACUGCCUUUGAUACUGGCGAUCUUGAGUUCGGGAGAGGUGAGUGGAACUGCGAGUGUAGAGGUGAAAUUCGUAGAUAUUCGCAAGAACACCAGUGGCGAAGGCGGCUCACUGGCCCGGUACUGACGCUGAGGUG